AAGCGUUUACGGCCAGACCUUUUCCUGGCGGAUCAUCUGGUGUUCUCACCAGUGCACUUCGCCAGGUUUAGGCCAGCAUCGGCUUCUGUAGGGGGAUAAAAGCAGUGGGAAAGUAGCUCUCUCGGGAGUGUUAUAGCCCUAAGCAUAAUACCCUUAUAGGGGCCGAGGACCGCGCUUUUGCAAGGAUGCUGGCGUAAUGGUCGUCAACGA
rnacentral:rRNA from 1 species